AUGGCUCGCGUCGUUGCCGCGGCACCGCUUCUCCUCCUCCUGCUUGCUUCGUCGUCCGCGGCCUUUGCCGACACGGUGCUCGGCCGCAAAGGCAGUACCGCGGCGGAGGGGCCCGUGCAGUUUCCGGGGGUGGGCAAGUACGCCGUGAUCUUCGACGCCGGGAGCACGGGCACACGCGUGCACGUCUUCAAGUUUGACAACAAGAUGGACCUCCUUGAGAUCGGCGACGACAUCGAGGUCUUCGCCAAGGUGUCCCCCGGGCUGAGUUCCUUCUCCGGGCGGCCCAAGGAGGCUGCAAAGUCCGUGAUACCACUGCUCGACAAGGCAAACAGUGUCGUCCCUUGGUGGCAAAUGAACAGAACUCCCCUUAAACUAGGAGCGACGGCUGGGCUGAGGCUUAUCGGAGACAAGCCAUCGGAGCAGAUCCUUCAAGCGGUGAGGGAUAUCGUCCACACCAAGAGUAAAUUCCAGUACAACCCAAAGUGGAUCAAUGUUCUCGAGGGAUCUCAAGAAGGGUCUUACAUGUGGGUUGCUCUGAACUAUCUGCUGGAUAGAUUGGGCGGAGAUUACUCGAAGACCGUAGGCGUGAUCGAUCUUGGUGGCGGUUCGGUCCAAAUGGCCUACGCCGUCUCUCCAAACACCGCAGCAAACGCCCCGGCAACGCCUGAUGGCAAGGACCCUUACAUCACCAAGGAGUACCUCAAGGGAAAAGACUACAACGUCUACGUCCACAGCUACCUGUACUACGGCAACUUGGCUGCUCGUGUGGAGAUCCUCAAGGCCAAGUCCGGGCCGUUCAGCUCGUGCAUGCUGCGUGGAUCCACCGGCAACUACACCUACAACGGCGAGAUCUACGACGCGGCGGCGUCGCCAGAAGGGGCAGUGUACACCAAGUGCAGGAAGGAGGUGGCCAAGGCGCUGAAGCUGGACGCGCCGUGCGCGAACAAGAACUGCACCUUCGGCGGCGUGUGGGGCGGAGGCGGCGGCGCCGGGCAGGCGACGCUGUACGCGGCCUCCUUCUUCUACGGCAAGGCCACCCAGGUCGGGUGGGUGGAUAAGGACGCCCCGAGCGCCAAGUCCAGCCCGGGGGCGUUCAGGGCGGCGGCCAAGAAGAUCUGCCCGCUGAGCCUCGAGGAGGCCAAGGCGGCGUAUCCCGGGGUGCGCGAGACGCCCUACAUUUGCAUGGACCUGGUGUACCAGUACACGCUGCUCGUCUACGGGUUCGGGCUGGCGCCGGCGAGGGAGAUCACGCUGGUGGACAAGGUGAAGCACGGGGAGUACUUCAUGGAGGCCGCCUGGCCGCUUGGCGAGGCCAUCGAGGCCGUCGCGCCCAAGAAGCGCAUCCAACAUGAUCCACCCGUCAACGUUGCAUGA
rnacentral:rRNA from 1 species